AGUGGCGGACGGGUGAGUAACGCGUAAGAAUCUAACUUCAGGACGGGGACAACAGUUGGAAACGACUGCUAAUACCCGAUGUGCCGCAAGGUGAAACCUAAUUGGCCUGGAGAAGAGCUUGCGUCUGAUUAGCUAGUUGGUGGGGUAAAGGCCUACCAAGGCGACGAUCAGUAGCUAGUCUGAGAGGAUGAGCAGCCACACUGGGACUGAGACACGGCCCAGACUCCUACGGGAGGCAGCAGUGGGGAAUUUUCCGCAAUGGGCGAAAGCCUGACGGAGCAACGCCGCGUGAGGGAGGAAGGUCUUUGGAUUGUAAACCUCUUUUCUCAAGGAAGAAGUUCUGACGGUACUUGAGGAAUCAGCCUCGGCUAACUCCGUGCCAGCAGCCGCGGUAAUACGGGGGAGGCGAGCGUUAUCCGGAAUUAUUGGGCGUAAAGCGUCCGCAGGAGGUCAGCCAAGUCUGCCGUCAAAUCAGGUUGCUUAACGACCUAAAGGCGGUGGAAACUGGCAGACUAGAGAGCAGUAGGGGUAGCAGGAAUUCCCAGUGUAGCGGUGAAAUGCGUAGAGAUUGGGAAGAACAUCGGUGGCGAAAGCGUGCUACUGGGCUGUAUCUGACACUCAGGGACGAAAGCUAGGGGAGCGAAAGGGAUUAGAUACCCCUGUAGUCCUAGCCGUAAACGAUGGAUACUAGGCGUGGCUU
rnacentral:rRNA from 1 species